rnacentral:lncRNA from 1 species
CCCCCAGUCCAGAUCAACAGUUUGUUGAGGAAAAGCUUGGAAUUCAGUUGAUGCCUAUUCUUGCUGUGAAGAGGAGCAAUCUGAACUGAAGGGGAGAACAGACUCCAAACAAGAGUAGAUGUGAUGACACCAAGAAAGAGCAGCCACAUAUUACCUCGAGAGGUUAACCAGAAUGCAAAUCAACAGAAUAUGAUGCUGACCAAGUACCAGGAAGAGGUGUCCCCAUCACUGUAGAUGACAAGUGAUGACAGUUAUCUUGAUGGACUACAGGAAUGAUUCAAGUGCAUUCAUUGUGCAGUUUACUGAUUUGUAUGAUGUAUUUUGAUAAUUGUUUUGGCAUUCUGAUGUCAGCUGAGUAACACCUCCAUAAUGGAAACAAAUUAAGGAACUUCUGUUUUGAAGCAGUAAAAUAGUCUCAGCAAUAAUUUUUAUUUAUUUUGCCAGCAGAACAGAAGUUUCCAUUAAUUUUCCCACACAAACAUUUUGUGCUUUUCUGUUCCCCAUUUGUGCUUAUUGUCCUGCUGAACAAUUAGACCACCUUUUCAGUGACAUUUUUUUUACACUGCAUGACAAUGUGAUUUAGAAGUAUGAUUUGAUAUAGUUUGAUGGUUUGAUAUUAGUAUAUGUGGCAUGUAGUAAACAAUGGAAUAGUAAAGUUAUGCCAUAUUUCUUGUAUUUCAUGAUACUGGCUGUUAUAUUACUUUUGUGAUAGUUAGUAUUUAAUUAAGGCUUUACAUACUGGCAACUAAGUCUCUGCAUGUCUGCCAUGGAAGGCAUGUAAAACUGUUGCCCUUUGCCAGAAC